AUUGAACGCUGGCGGCAGGCCUAACACAUGCAAGUCGAACGAGUGGCGGACGGGUGAGUAAUGUCUGGGAAACUGCCCGAUGGCGGGGGAUAACUACUGGAAACGGUAGCUAAUACCGCAUACCAUCGGAUGUGCCCAGAUGGGAUUCGCUAGUAGGUGGGGUAAAGGCUCACCUAGGCGACGAGCCCUAGCUGGUCUGAGAGGAUGAACAGCCACACUGGAACUGAGCCACGGUCCAGACUCCUACGGGAGGCAGCAGUGGGGAAUAUUGCACAAUGGGCGCAAGCCUGAUGCAGCCAUGCCGCGUGUAUGAAGAAGGCCUUCGGGUUGUAAAGUACUUUUAGCGAGGAAGCGUUACCCGAAGAAGAAGCACCGGCUAACUCCGUGCCAGCCGCCGCGGUAAUUC
rnacentral:rRNA from 1 species